CCUACGGGGCGCAGCAGUGAGGAAUGUUGGUCAAUGGACGGAAGUCUGAACCAGCCAUGCCGCGUGCAGGAAGACGGCUCUAUGAGUUGUAAACUGCUUUUGUACAAGGGUAAACCUGAAUACGUGUAUUCAGCUGAAAGUACUGUACGAAUAAGGAUCGGCUAACUCCGUGCCAGCAGCCGCGGUAAUACGGAGGAUCCAAGCGUUAUCCGGAUUUAUUGGGUUUAAAGGGUGCGUAGGCGGGACUGCAAGUUG
rnacentral:rRNA from 1 species